UCACCUGUAGAAUAUC
rnacentral:sRNA from 1 species